rfam:Trichobilharzia regenti genome assembly, scaffold: TRE_scaffold0058217
GUACUUAUGAAGAGUCCCAAGGUAGGACGAAACAGCUGUUCAGUAC